rnacentral:rRNA from 1 species
UACGGAGGGUGCAAGCGUUAUCCGGAUUCACUGGGUUUAAAGGGUGCGUAGGUGGGAAUGUAAGUCAGUGGUGAAAUCUCCGUGCUUAACAUGGAAACUGCCAUUGAUACUAUGUUUCUUGAAUCUUCCGGAGGUCAGCGGAAUAUGCCAUGUAGCGGUGAAAUGCUUAGAUAUGACAUAGAACACCAAUUGCGAAGGCAGCUGACUACAGGGGCAUUGACACUGAGGCACGAAAGCGUGGGGAUCAAACAGG